rnacentral:rRNA from 1 species
UACGGGGGGGCGGAGCGUUGUUCGGAAUCACUGGGCGUAAAGGGCGCGUAGGUACGGCCCGCACAAGUCUUGCGGUGAAACCUCCGGCUUAACCGGGGGUCCGGCCUGUAGGAAACUUGUCGGGCUGGAGGCUGGAGAGGGCAGCGGAAUUCCCGGUGUAGCGGUGAAUGCGCAGAUAUCGGGAGGAACACCAAUGGCGAAGGCAGCUCGCUGGGACGGUACUGACGCUGAGACGCGAAAGCGUGGGGAGCAAACAGG